rnacentral:sRNA from 1 species
ACUCAACGUUAAUUCUUUAAAAAGGGUGAGUUUAAGUUGUAAAAGCAUGCUGCAAAUAUUGAAUUUAUUUCAAUAACUAGCAGACCCUUGAUCAGCUUGUUAGCCCUAAACUUGUUUUUAAGGAGUUU